rfam:Triticum aestivum genome assembly, contig: Triticum_aestivum_CS42_TGACv1_scaffold_404990_5BL
CUAAUACUCCCUCCGUCCGAAAAAGCUUGUCUCUCAAAUAGGCGCAUCUAGCAGAAAGUUAGUGCUAGAUACAUUCAUUUAAGGAACAAGCUUGAGACAAAUUUUUUCGGACGGAGGAAGUACAAA